rnacentral:rRNA from 1 species
UACGGGGGGGGCAAGCGUUGUUCGGAAUUACUGGGCGUAAAGGGCUCGUAGGCGGCCAACUAAGUCGGACGUGAAAUCCCCAGGCUCAACCUGGGAACUGCGUCUGAUACUGGAUGGCUUGAAUCCGGGAGAGGGAUGCAGAAUUCCAGGUGUAGCGGUGAAAUGCGUAGAUAUCAGGAGGAACACCGAUGGCGAAGGCAGCCUUCUGGGCCAACACUGACGCUCAUGCACGAAAGCGUGGGGAGCAAACAGG